rnacentral:misc_RNA from 1 species
UUUCCGUAGGUGAACCUGCGGAAGGAUCAUUAUUGUAUAAUCGAGGUGCGGGGGCUAUCGCUUAUACGAAAGGUCUUGCACGGCCGAGUGUUCUCCCACACAUCCAUCUCACCCCUAUGUGCAUCACCGCGUGGGUCCCCCAUUGGCUUGUUCGGAGGGGUGCUUACGUCUUCACACAAACUUUGUAUGCAGUGUAGAAUGUACUUUUUGUGUUUGCAAUCACGCAAUCAAUACAACUUUCAACAACGGAUCUCUUGGCUCUC